GCGGCCUAUCAGCUUGUUGGUGGGGUGAUGGCCUACCAAGGCGACGACGGGUAGCCGGCCUGAGAGGGUGUCCGGCCACACUGGGACUGAGAUACGGCCCAGACUCCUACGGGAGGCAGCAGUGGGGAAUAUUGCACAAUGGGCGCAAGCCUGAUGCAGCGACGCCGCGUGGGGGAUGACGGCCUUCGGGUUGUAAACCUCUUUCACCAUCGGCGAAGCCGGGGGCUUUUGUUUUCGGUGACGGUAGGUGGAGAAGAAGCACCGGCCAACUACGUGCCAGCAGCCGCGGUAAUACGUAGGGUGCGAGCGUUGUCCGGAAUUACUGGGCGUAAAGAGCUCGUAGGUGGUUUGUCGCGUUGUUCGUGAAAUUCCCUGGCUUAACUGGGGGCGUGCGGGCGAUACGGGCAGACUGGAGUACUGCAGGGGAGACUGGAAUUCCUGGUGUAGCGGUGGAAUGCGCAGAUAUCAGGAGGAACACCGGUGGCGAAGGCGGGUCUCUGGGCAGUAACUGACGCUGAGGAGCGAAAGCGUGGGGAGCGAACAGGAUUAGAUACCCUGGUAGUCCACGCCGUAAACGGUGGGUACUAGGUGUGGGUUUCCUUCCUUGGGAUCCGUGCCGUAGCUAACGCAUUAAGUACCCCGCCUGGGGAGUACGG
rnacentral:rRNA from 1 species